GUCCUGGAAAGCAGCUUGGGAACUGGAGGCUAAGGGUAGUUGGGGACAUUAAUUGGUGAGCAAGAGGAUCAAAAGGACUUCAAUGUUAUCUGUGAUGGGCCCUUAACUGGAAAAAAUCCUCUAUAAGUAUAGGGACAAAUGAAAUUUUUCUGACACUGGUAGUAAUUUUUCAACUGAUUAUUUUUCCUUUUCAAGUAAAGUGAGUUAUUAAUUGGCAGAAAAAUAUAAAACUUGAAUAAGAAAACUUCAUUUCAUGUGAGCUUUUCAUGAAGGUUCAUUCUUUUCUUUGGGCAACAACAGGUUUAAGAAAACUGCCUUAGUAUUGGUAAUAAAGGGAGAGCUAAGAUAAUAUUAUGACUACCCUACUGUGGGCUUGAUUGGUAUCUUCAGACUGUAGUUGCAUUCUGUUAAUGGAUUGUGAUAUCAUUUUAAAGGGUUACACAGCAGUUUUUCCUCAAG
rnacentral:lncRNA from 1 species